rnacentral:rRNA from 1 species
CCUACGGGUGGCAGCAGUGGGGAAUAUUGCACAAUGGGCGAAACCCUGAUGCAGCGACGCCGCGUGAGUGAAGAAGUAUUUCGGUAUGUAAAGCUCUAUCAGCAGGGAAGAAGAAAGACGGUACCUGACUCAGAAGCCCCGGCUAACUACGUGCGAGCAGCCGCGGUAAUACGGAGGGGCCAAGCGUUAUCCGGAUUUACUGGGUGUAAAGGGAGCGUAGGCGGCUGUGCAAAGCUGAAGUGAAAGGCCAGGGAUCAACCCGGGGACUGCUGUGGAAACUGUGGAGCUAGAGUGCGGGAGAGGUAAGGGGAAGUCGUGGUGUAGCGGUGAAAUGCGUAGAUAUGAGGAAGAACACCAGUGGCGAAGGCGGCUUACUGGACAGUAACUGACGUUGAGGCUCGAAAGCGUGGGGAGCAAACAGGAUUAGAUACCCCAGUAGUC